UAAUACAUCGGAACGUGCCCUGUAGUGGGGGAUAACUAGUCGAAAGAUUAGCUAAUACCGCAUACGACCUGAGGGUGAAAGUGGGGGACCGCAAGGCCUCAUGCUAUAGGAGCGGCCGAUGUCUGAUUAGCUAGUUGGUGAGGUAAAGGCUCACCAAGGCGACGAUCAGUAGCUGGUCUGAGAGGACGAUCAGCCACACUGGGACUGAGACACGGCCCAG
rnacentral:rRNA from 1 species